CACGUAGGGCGCAAGCGUUGUCCGGAAUUAUUGGGCGUAAAGAGCUCGUAGGCGGUCUGUUGCGUCCGCUGUGAAAACUCGGGGCUUAACCCCGAGCCUGCAGUGGAUACGGGCAGACUAGAGGUAGGUAGGGGAGAAUGGAAUUCCAGGUGUAGCGGUGAAAUGCGUAGAUAUCUGGAGGAACACCGGUGGCGAAGGCGGCAUCCUGGACCGACACUGACACUGAGGAGCGAAAGCCAGGGGAGCAAACGGG
rnacentral:rRNA from 1 species